UGAAAUAAAAUCCCCAAAUCAGCAAAGAAUCAAAUUGAGAAUAGAAAUAAGUGUUAAUAAGGGUUCUUGAAACCCUAAAGGAGAUUGUGAUUCUGCCCAAUUGAACACCAAGAUAGUUUUCCCCAAAUUUCGACAAUCUAAUUUCACCCAAAAAGAGUAUGGAAGAAUCCUAGAAAUUGGGGAUUUUUGGGCUGAUUCCUUAAGAUAGAAAAAUGCUGAAAACACAAUAAAAACAGAA
rnacentral:lncRNA from 1 species